rnacentral:rRNA from 1 species
UACGUAGGGGGCAAGCGUUUGUCCGGAUUCAUUGGGCGUAAAGAGCGUGUAGGCGGCCAGGUAGGUCGGUUGUGAAAACUGGAGGCUCAACCUUCAGAGGUCGACCGAAACCAUCUGGCUAGAGUCCGGGAGAGGAGAGUGGAAUUCCUGGUGUAGCGGUGAAAUGCGCAGAUAUCAGGAAGAACACCCGUGGCGAAAGCGGCUCUCUGGAACGGUACUGACGCUGAGACGCGAAAGCUAGGGGAGCGAACAGG